AGGAGAGGCGUGAUGCCGUCUGGAACGUGGCGCCCGAGCCAGAUAAACUUGUGAGAGGCAGAGAAGGGAACCUCAGGCUGGCGGGGGAAAAGAUGCUGUUGCGUUCUGUCUUCGCCGUGGGACGCAACGAUUGCCCCAUCCCACUUUCGGGCGAAAAAUUCACCAAGAACAGACCCUUCUUUAAGCCCGGGGUGUAUUUCUGGCUGCGGGUGUUCAGCUGUCCUCAAUGGGAAGAGGAGAUGGCUUUCUUGUUUAGGAAUGUGUGUGUGCCCGUAUGUGUGCACGUACCUGGGAGAGAAAGGGGCAAGAGCUACAUGACCUGGGGAGAGAGGAGCAGCCGACCCACCAACUGCAUCUUCAAGGGCAGCCUCAGGCCCAGCAAGGGGAACCAUCAAGACACUCUCAUCAAGUGUCUGCGAGCACCUAAGUCCAAUACUGGAGAGACAUUUUGCAUAAACCUUCUUCUUUUUGGACAUUCUUUUUGGACAUUCUUUUCUCUCAGUACUUCGUGCACAGCCUCUCUUUUCUCCAGACACCCAUUUCUCCUUCACUUAAAAUUUGUAAAGAAUGCCAGAAAAUGCAGUAGAACACUGAUUAUUUGUGAGAACUUCUGUUUUCCUGUUUCUUUAUGAAAGCUACUUAUCCACAUGAACAGGAAACCUUGUGGUAAUCAGCCUCCUCCUUUUGUUACAAACACUGAUCCUGACUGCCCGGGAAGCAAAAACAAAUCCAUCCUGAGUUCAAAGGCAUUUCUGCAUUCCAGUUGUUUCUCUCACAAGGCUAUAUGUGACACAGCAGCCAAUUUUUUUUCAAUAGCAAAGCAGCAAACUGCACUUUAACUGCCCCAAACAGACAAUAAACAAAGCUUCUCAUAACUGCUGCUGCUGCUGCUGAAGAGCAGUGUCUUUACCUUCAUACACUGCUCACUUGUCCCAUUAGUAGCAAAUUGAGCAUUUUAUGUCUAACAAGAUCUGCCAUUUUUAAAUCAGUGAAGCUUAAUGAAGCAUUAGCCUUUUUCACACCCUCAGUCUCUGCAGCAUAGGAAAUAGCUUCAGCCUUCUUUCUGAGUCUGUCCCCCUGCUCUCAAUCAGUACAUGAUGAACAUGUGACAGCAGGACUUUUUCAACAAGACUCAUAUCAAUAUGAGCUUUCAGAAUGACCCAAUCUGCAGAUUACUUUACAACUCAAUGGUACUUGGCAGACCUUAUCUGAAGGCUGGAGAGUGUUCCCUUGCAUAUCAGAUUUCCAGAUUAGCCAAAGAUUUAUUUUCAGGUGCUCCCAUUUGUAGUAAAUUUCCAACAAACCUACAAUAAUAAACAGGCAUAUGCAACAACAGAGAACAAAGCAUUCUACAGUUCAGCAUAAGGUUAGAAGUCACAGGUUAGAAACAGAUGUGAAAGGGAAACUCAUUUCAGUCUCAAAAUAUGCAUAUUAACCUGUUUUUGCACUGCUAAGUAUCACUUUGACAAAACAGUACUACAUUAUUUAAUAAGGCAAAUUAAGCCACAGGAUUCUUCCAUUUCAGGGGGGCAUCCAGGACUUACUGUAAGAUGUAUCAAUGCCUACAGGAAGAUAUUGUCCUUUUCUGUGAAGCAUUUGAGUUAAGAAGACCAGUAAAAUAAACAUGUAUCAUUGUCACUAGUCAGCUUGCAAAUGUCACCACAUUAAAUUCCAUUCUAAACACAGUUCUGUGUCCUAAUAACAUAGCCAACUUAAUUAUGUUGUGUAUGAUCCUUUAUAUUUGAAAAUGCACAUUAUUUUUGACUGUUCCACAAGCCUUUGUCUAAUAAGGCAAGUACUGUUUUUAUCUCUUUCCCUAUGUGAGUUAGUACAUAACCAUUACAAAGUUCUUUCCUAUGGAAGGAAAUCACUCCAAAGGAGUCAAGAAUUUACAUGAGAAUGUCCAUGUGUGCAAAUCAUCACAAAAAAACUGCAUGAAUUGGCCAUGUGUGGCUGGAUGAUAAAUUUCACCACACGUUUGAAUAUGAAAGACAAAUUUCAGUCCUGACCUAUUUUACUGAAGACUGAAUUCCCUAAGUAUAUACACUUGCAAAUAUGGAGUAUAUACACUUGCAAAUAUGGAGUUAAACGCUGGGGCACAUGGAUAUUCUUGUGCAGACACAUGUUCCUGUUACAAGGAGUAAUUUGGAAAUUUAAUUGAAUACCAUAAAAAGGGACUUUUGUUCAUUAGUUCAAGAUAAGCAACAAAUUUAAGCAAAACUCAGUUAUCUGACUUCUGUAAUUCCAUAAAUAA